UACGUAGGGGCCUAGCGUUGUCCGGAUUUAUUGGGCGUAAAGAGCUCGUAGGCGGUUCGGUAAGUCAGGUGUGAAAUCUCCACGCUCAACGUGGAGGCGCCACCUGAAACUGCCGUGACUCGAGUCCGGUAGGGGAGUGUGGAAUUCCUGGUGUAGCGGUGAAAUGCGUGAGAGAUCAUGAGGAAGACCAGUGGCGAAGGCGGGUCUCUGAACAGUUCCUGACACUGAGGCACGAAGGCCAGGGGAGCAAACGGG
rnacentral:rRNA from 1 species